rnacentral:rRNA from 2 species
GCAACGAGCGCAACCCUUGAUCUUAGUUGCCAGCAUUUAGUUGGGCACUUUAAGGUGACUGCCGGUGACAAACNGGAGGAAGGUGGGGAUGACGUCAAAUCAUCAUGCCCCUUAUGACCUGGGCUACACACGUGNUACAAUGGAUGGUACAAAGGGCUGCAAGACCGCGAGGUCAAGCCAAUCCCAUAAAACCAUUCUCAGUUCGGAUUGUAGGCUGCAACUCGCCUACAUGAAGCUGGAAUCGCUAGUAAUCGCGGAUCAGCAUGCCGCGGUGAAUACGUUCCCGGGCCUUGUACACACCGCCCGUCACACCACGAGAGUUUGUAACACCCGAAGUCGGUGGAGUAACCGUAAGGAGCUAGCCGCCUNANGGNNNGACAGAUGAUUGG